rnacentral:sRNA from 12 species
UUGCAGGGGGGGUCAGUAUUACCCCCCUGCAACUUCUGUAUCUUGUAGCA